rnacentral:rRNA from 1 species
GAUGAACGCUGGCGGCGUGCCUAAUACAUGCAAGUCGAGCGAAUGGAUUAAGAGCUUGCUCUUAUGAAGUUAGCGGCGGACGGGUGAGUAACACGUGGGUAACCUGCCCAUAAGACUGGGAUAACUCCGGGAAACCGGGGCUAAUACCGGAUAACAUUUUGAACCGCAUGGUUCGAAAUUGAGAGGCGGCUUCGGCUGUCACUUAUGGAUGGACCCGCGUCGCAUUAGCUAGUUGGUGAGGUAACGGCUCACCAAGGCAACGAUGCGUAGCCGACCUGAGAGGGUGAUCGGCCAAACUGGGACUGGAACACGGCCCAGACUCCUACGGGAGGCAGCAGUAGGGAAUCUUCCGCAAUGGACGAAAGUCUGACGGAGCAACGCCGCGUGAGUGAUGAAGGCUUUCGGGACGUAAAACUCUGUUGUUAGGGAAGAACAAGUGCUAGUUGAAUAAGCUGGCACCUUGACGGUACCUAACCAGAAAGCCACGGCUAACUACGUGCCAGCAGCCGCAGUAA